rnacentral:rRNA from 1 species
CCUACGGGAGGCAGCAGUGGGGGAUAUUGCACAAUGGGGGAAACCCUGAUGCAGCGACGCCGCGUGUGGGAAGACGGUCCUCUGGAUUGUAAACCACUGUCCCCAGGGACGAAGAUGACGGUACCUGGGGAGGAAGCUCCGGCUAACUACGUGCCAGCAGCCGCGGUAAUACGUAGGGAGCGAGCGUUGUCCGGAAUUACUGGGUGUAAAGGGAGCGUAGGCGGGACUGCAAGUUGGGUGUCAAAUCUACCGGCUCAACCGGUAGCCGCACUCAAAACUGCAGUUCUUGAGUGAAGUAUGCGGAAUUCGUGGUGUAGCGGUGAAAUGCAUAGAUAUCACGAAGAACUCCGAUUGCGAAGGCAGCAUACCGGCUCCAUACUGACGCUGAGGCACGAAAGCGUGGGGAUCGAACAGGAUUAGAUACCCGUGUAGUC